GAUGAACGCUGGCGGCGUGCCUAAUACAUGCAAGUCGAGCGAACAGACGAGGAGCUUGCUUCUCUGACGUUAGCGGCGGACGGGUGAGUAACACGUGGAUAACCUACCUAUAAGACUGGGAUAACUUCGGGAAACCGGAGCUAAUACCGGAUAAUAUAUUGAACCGCAUGGUUCAAUAGUGAAAGACGGUUUUGCUGUCACUUAUAGAUGGAUCCGCGCCGCAUUAGCUAGUUGGUAAGGUAACGGCUUACCAAGGCAACGAUGCGUAGCCGACACGGGAGGGUGGAUGGGCCAACUAGAACUGAGAAAAGGUCCCGACUCCCAAGGGGGGCAGCAGUAAGGAAGCUUGCGCGAAUGGCCAAAGGCUGGACGAGGCACCCCGCGUGGAGAGUGAAGGUAUUCCGAUUCGAAAACCCGUUUAUUUAGGGAGAACAAUAGUUUAAGUAACCAUGACACUCUUGAAGGUAACCAAUCAAAAAGGCACCGCUAAAUAACUG
rnacentral:rRNA from 1 species